rnacentral:rRNA from 1 species
UUGACCUCGGAUCAGGUAGGAAUACCCGCUGAACUUAAGCAUAUCAAUAAGCGGAGGAAUUCUACUCCCCACCCCCAGGGGACGCAUCCCAAAACGGUGGCUCGGGGGGGGGGAGGCCCCGGGGGGGGGGGGACCCCGGAACCAAAGGCCCGCCGAAGGGACCAACCAAAAACAUUUUUUUAUUCCCUUGGGGGGGGUAUUUUUUUUUUUGUUUUUGCGGAAUUUCAAAUGAAUCAAAAAUUUCAACAACAAACCUUGGUUUUGGUUUUGCCGAGAAAACCACCGAAAAGAAUGAGAUAAGGGGGGUUGAGGGAUAAUCAGGAAUGGACAAGUUUAGUACGCAAUUGCGCCCCCAUAUGUCUGGGGGGAUGCUGUCGAAGACAUUCCACCUUAACGCGUCCUAGGUCGGCCGGUGUGGUCGGGAACACACAGAGGAACGGGGCCCAAAAACAAAUGGAGAUACGCUUUCCCCCCCCUCAAAUGGGGGUGAAAACUGAUCAGCGAGACGAAAGGGCCACGUCUUAACACCCACUGGGGGAGGGAUGACUCCGAUUCGGGUAGGUAUUCACCCUAAACUAAGCAUGUAUAUUUGAGACGCGGGAGAGAAAA